rnacentral:rRNA from 1 species
AAUUACCCACUCCCAGCACGGGGAGGUAGUGACGAAAAAUAACGAUACGGGACUCAUCCGAGGCCCCGUAAUCGGAAUGAGUACACUUUAAAACUUUUCCCGAGGAUCAAUUGGAGGGUAAGUCUGGUGCCAGCAGCCGCGGUAAUUCCAGCUCCAAUAGCGUAUAUUAAAGUUGUUGCGGUUAAAAAGCUCGUAGUCGAAUCUGUGUCCCGUGCCGCUGGUUCAUCGCUCGCGGUGUUCAACUGGCGUGUCUCGCGGGACGUCCUGCCGGUGGGCGCUCGUACCGUUUCGACGGUGCGUGGCCCAACUCGUAGCCGUCUCGCGCGGUUGCGAAUCCCAUCGCGGUGCUCUUUAUUGAGUGUCGAGGUGGGCCGGCACGUUUACUUUGAACAAAUUAGAGUGCUUAAAGCAGGCCAAUUUUGCCUGAAUAUUGUGUGCAUGGAAUAAUGGAAUAGGACCUCGGUUCUAUUUUGUUGGUUUUCGGAACCCCGAGGUAAUGAUUAAUAGGAACGGAUGGGGGCAUUCGUAUUGCGACGUUAGAGGUGAAAUUCUUGGAUCGUCGCAAGACGGACAGAAGCGAAAGCAUUUGCCAAAAACGUUUUCAUUGAUCAAGAACGAAAGUUAGAGGUUCGAAGGCGAUCAGAUACCGCCCUAGUUCUAACCAUAAACGAUGCCAGCUAGCGAUCCGCCGACGUUCCUCCGAUGACUCGGCGGGCAGCUUCCGGGAAACCAAAGCUUUUGGGUUCCGGGGGAAGUAUGGUUGCAAAGCUGAAACUUAAAGGAAUUGACGGAAGGGCACCACCAGGAGUGGAGCCUGCGGCUUAAUUUGACUCAACACGGGACACCUCACCAGGCCCGGACACCGGAAGGAUUGACAGAUUGAGAGCUCUUUCUUGAUUCGGUGGGUGGUGGUGCAUGGCCGUUCUUAGUU